rnacentral:rRNA from 1 species
CCGACCGGCGCACGGGUGAGUAACACGUAUGCAACCUGGCCGCCACAGGGGGAUAACCCGCGGAAACGCGGCCUAAUACCCCGUGACGCCACCGGAGGGCAUCCUCCGGUGGCCAAAGGAGCGAUCCGGUGGCGGAUGGGCAUGCGGCGCAUUAGCUAGACGGCGGGGUGACGGCCCACCGUGGCGACGAUGCGUAGGGGUUCUGAGAGGAAGGCCCCCCACACUGGGACUGAGACACGGCCCAGACUCCUACGGGAGGCAGCAG